AUGGAAACAUCCAAUGAAGAAAGAUAUACAUUUAUUUUAGCUCAGCCCAGCUCUGGUCUGGGUCAACACAAUUCCCUACAAACCACAGCUUUGGCAGAACUGAGGAAGAGAGGGAAUAUCCAGGAGGUAAGGGAAAGAGGAAGAUGGGAGAAGGGCAGCUGCAUUAGCUGGUUGGGAGAGAAAUGUGAAAAGCACUACAAAUGGAGAUCUCCCCACUCAUGGCUCAUCUUUAAAAAGAAGCACAGGUGGUUCAUGCAGAAAGCAGUUUGCAUUUUAAUCUUAUUUCUUUCCCAAAUGUGGCAGGAAAGUGCUAUCCUCAGCUACAAAACAUCCCCUGGGAACCCACCUUGCCUUGCAGCUCUUGUGUGCUGACUUCCCCUGGUGUGAAGGUAGGUUGAAGUGCCAGCUGUUAGAAGGAAUAAUUAUCACAGCACUUCCUGCUAGCACUUCAGAUUUUAGAGAGGAGAACCAGAAGUUACCUGAUUCCACAGUUUGGAUUCUUUUUCCCUUUUUUUUUUUUUUUUUUUCUUACUGCCUUUGCCAGUUUUAUUCUGAGUAUUCAACACAUUGAUAAGGUUUAUCAUUGCAGUGACAAUCUUGUAAGCUAUAUUCAUAAUACCAUUUUAAAUGAGAUGUGGGGUAAACCUGUCCUAUUAUAGACUUGGAAAUCCUCUCACAUUUAAAUCUAAUCCACGUCUUCUAAACAUUUAGGAUGAUAGCAGUGACUAGGAAAUGCUGAGAAAUGUGUCUGUGCUCCAGAUUACAAAACACAAAGGCAAUAACUGUAAUGUGCUAUUGCUCUCUGCCUGCUUUUAGCUUACAGCUAAUUGCAUAGAUAGGGACCAUCAUUUACUGCUGAUGCUUAUGCACCAUUCAUUCACACACAGCAGUCACUUCCUCAUCCCUAUGUUAAUUGUCUGUCACUAGCAGUGUAGCUCGUACCUCUGUGAGGCCAUCUAAACACGCUGUUACCCUGCUAUCCACUCUGCUUGUGUUCCCAGACAGACCAUGGCUGAUCAUUGCUGAAAUAACAGCUAUGUGUAUUAGUUUUACAAGGGGCUGAAACCAAAUAAAUUAACAAACCUGCUUCA
rnacentral:lncRNA from 1 species